rnacentral:rRNA from 1 species
UACGUAGGGGCCGAGCGUUGUCCGGAGUUAUUGAGCGUAAAGCGCGCGCAGGCGGCCUCGCGCGCCCGACGUGAAAGCCCCCGGCUUAACCGGGGAGAGUCGUUGGGGACGGCGGGGCUUGAGGGCGGGAGAGGGGGGUGGAAUUCCGGGUGUAGUGGUGAAAUGCGUAGAGAUCCGGAGGAACCCCAGAGGCGAAGGCGGCCCCCUGGCUCGUACCUGACGCUCAGCCACGAAAGCAUGGGGAGCGAACGGG